rnacentral:lncRNA from 1 species
GAACGAUGAUAAUUCUGAGAAAAUUGAAUUUGAUAAGAAAUUUCAGAAUGAGGUGAAAUUAACAAAAUAUGACUUUACUCAAUCUGAAGAGAAUGAACCUGUUUUUCUUCAAGGAGAUAAUGAGAAUGAACUUGUGGUUGAAGAGGCUGAUAGUCCUCUUGGAGGAACUGAACCAGAAGAAAAUAUCCUAACAUUGAAAAGACCUCUAUCAAAGACUAUUAGCUUGUAAGGGAUAGAGAGAUGAGAUGACCUAAUCUUAGGUGUGAGUCUCAAAAUUUAACUGAUUUUACCUCUGUUUCUGGAGAGGCCAUAGAGCAUAAUGAACCUUCCUCUUUUGAAGAGGCCGUGAAUGGAUUAAAAUCAGAAAAUUGGAAAUUGUCUGUGAAAGAGGAAAAUAUAAUCUUUGAUGGAAAACAAAACUUAAAAAUUGGUUAUAAGACCUAAGAACCAAAGAAUAAUCCAAUGCAAAUGAAUUUAUAAAUUGAAAGAGGGAACUAAUCCAUCUUGCAUUAGUUGUUCAAUUCAAUUGGAAACAUGAAAACUAGAUGUUAAAGACUGCAUUCUUUCAUGGAGAAUUGGAGAAGAAUAUUUAAAUGAGUCAACCUCAAGUUUUUGAUGUGAAGAAUAAAAUUGAUUUUGUUUGUAAAUUGGAAAAUCACUCUAUGGGCUAAAAUAAAUUCCUAGGCAGUUGUAAAAGAGGUUUGAUUCAUACGUCCUUAAAAUUGGUUUUAAAAGGAGUGAUUAUAAUACUUAUUUGUACUAUAAUAACAUCCGGCUUUGAAGCCUACUUACAAUUGUAUGUGGAUGACGUCUUAUUAGCUAGUCCAAAUAAAAGAAAAUCAUAAGAUUGAAAAGCAUUUUAAAAUUUGAAUUUGACAUGAAAGAUUUAAGUGACGCUAAAGGGUAAUGUCGAUAAAGGGUAAUUUCUUUGCAUGUAUAGGGCGGCAAUGAUGGACCUCCCAUUUUAGUGCACCAUUAAGCAUAUUGUAGAGAGUGUUUGCAUUUUGAAACCAAGGUGAAGAUUGAAGGAUAAAUCGUGUUUUCGAAGAUGCAACUCUUUUAAGUGAUAUUCCACGUGGCUGAUUCUCAGUGGAUGAUUAGACGAAACCCAUAUUGUGCUCUCUCUCCUGUGUUGUGAGCCAUUGAUUUUAAUUAAUGGCUGUGAUCACUUGUUGCCUCUUUUACACAUUUGGUUUGUUAGCCUUUGGCGUUGAGAUUCAGUUCUGAUUUCUGAAAAAGGCUCUUUGUUCUCUCUACUCAUUUCGAGUGAUCUCUUCAUUUUCUUCCAUAGAUUGUGUUAUUGACCCUUAAUAGAUUUGUAAAUCUUCUUCCUAUAUUGUAACAGAAACUUGAGUCAGUAUUUCGCUGCUCUAAUUAGUUUCUAUUUGGUUGAUUUGUGCUAUAGGGUUGAGUAUCUCUUGGUUAAGUAGCCUCAAUAACCGGAUAUUUCUUUAAAAAACCAUCAUUUUCAUCAUCAUCUUGUAAGUAUGCAACUAAAACAUAAUUUGUUCUUGGUAAUAAUAUAAAGGUGGUUACAUUGCCACCACAAAUUUUAUUUGAUGUACUACAUAUUAAUUACCAUUAAGAUUCUUAAUCUUUGCUCAUUGCAGCUAUUAUUUUUUAACUUUUUUC